rnacentral:rRNA from 1 species
UUUCUUUGCUGGCGACCGGCGCGCGGGUGAGUAACACGUAUCCAACCUGCCCUUUACUCGGGGAUAGCCUUUCGAAAGGAAGAUUAAUACCCGAUAGCAUAAUGAUUCCGCAUGGUUUCAUUAUUAAAGGAUUCCGGUAAAGGAUGGGGAUGCGUUCCAUUAGGUUGUUGGUGAGGUAACGGCUCACCAAGCCUUCGAUGGAUAGGGGUUCUGAGAGGAAGGUCCCCCACAUUGGAACUGAGACACGGUCCAA